GCUGCUGUAGUUUCAUCACUGAGAAGCUCCUCUCUCCUCCCUUCACAGGGCCAGUCUUCUUACCCUUGAGGUUUCAGCCUCAGAGAAGCAUUCUCUGAGGACUUGAGCUAAAGCAGGACCCCGAACCCCUUUGUUUUAUGUCUUGGCCCCGUGUGUGCGUGUGCGCACGCACGUGUGUGUAUGUG